GAUGAACGCUGGCGGCGUGCCUAAUACAUGCAAGUCGAGCGAACAGACGAGGAGCUUGCUCCUCUGACGUUAGCGGCGGACGGGUGAGUAACACGUGGAUAACCUACCUAUAAGACUGGGAUAACCUCGGGAAACCGGAGCUAAUACCGGAUAAUAUAUUGAACCGCAUGGUUCAAUAGUGAAAGACGGUUUUGCUGUCACUUAUAGAUGGAUCCGCGCCGCAUUAGCUAGUUGGUAAGGUAACGGCUUACCAAGGCAACGAUGCGUAGCCGACCGGAGAGGGUGAUCGGCCACACGGGAAGGUGGACACGGUCCAGACUCCUACGGGAGGCAGCAGUAGGGAAUCUUCCGCAGUGGGCGAAAGCCUGACGGAGCAACGCCGCGUGAGUGAUGAAGGUCUUCGGAUCGUAAAACUCUGUUAUUAGGGAAGAACAAAUGUGUAAGUAACUGUGCACGUCUUGACGGUACCUAAUCAGAAAGCCACGGCUAACUACGUG
rnacentral:rRNA from 1 species